AACGCACAUUGCGCCCUCUGGUAUUCCGGAGGGCAUGCCUGUUCGAGCGUCAUUACAACCCUCAAGCUCUGCUUGGUAUUGGGCAUUAGGCGUCUGCCUAGGCCUUAAAAUCAGUGGCGGUGCCGUCUGGCUCUAAGCGUAGUAAAUCUCUCGCUAUAGACGUUGGAUGGAUGCUAGCCAUAACCCCCAAUUUUUACAGGUUGACCUCGGAUCAGGUAGGGAUACCCGCUGAACUUAA
rnacentral:misc_RNA from 1 species